CUCUUCAAAAAGCACAGCAGGCAGUCCUUGUUUGGUAGUGAAUAUUGGGGUGGUAAAGUCUAUGGGACCUCAUUCUUUGCUUGAUUAAGUCUCAAUAUAGCUGCAUAUGUUUGGACCACUGUAUCAGUAGGAGUAUUGGUUCCAUUUCCUAUCACUGGAAUUUGUGAGGAGUUUGUUGUGUGCUGCCUCCCCUCCAUCAUCCUGUUUGCCUCUUGAAUGUUGUUCUCGUGAUUUGCAUUUGUGCCUUCCUCUUCCUGCAAAUUAGGUCUUAUGCCAAAAGAAAAAUUACAACAACUUGAUAUCUCAAUUGGAGAUAUCUGCAUAUUCCCCUCUGCUCUUUUGGGCCAUCGUAAUGUCCACCGACCUACUUUCAAUUAAACCAGAGUGUUCCAUGGAGAUAAUAUUUCGUGCCCUUUCAGAAAUCGCUUCAUUCAGUCUCGAUGUCAAGGAGUUGUGGGAAGAAUCUGAUGGGGCUUCUUGUUCAGUUACCUGCAUUCCUUCUUGACGAACCUUGUAGACUAAGUCCGGUGGUAUGUUGACC
rnacentral:lncRNA from 1 species